rnacentral:rRNA from 1 species
GACGAACGCUGGCGGCGUGCCUAAUACAUGCAAGUAGAACGCACAGUUUAUACCGUAGCUUGCUACACCAUAGACUGUGAGUUGCGAACGGGUGAGUAACGCGUAGGUAACCUGCCUGGUAGCGGGGGAUAACUAUUGGAAACGAUAGCUAAUACCGCAUAAUAUUAAUUAUUGCAUGAUAAUUAAUUGAAAGGUGCAAUUGCACCACUACCAGAUGGACCUGCGUUGUAUUAGCUAGUAGGUGGGGUAACGGCUCACCUAGGCGACGAUACAUAGCCGACCUGAGAGGGUGAUCGGCCACACUGGGACUGAGACACGGCCCAGACUCCUACGGGAGGCAGCAGUAGGGAAUCUUCGGCAAUAGACGAAAGUCUGACCGAGCAACGCCGCGUGAGUGAAGAAGGUUUUCGGAUCGUAAAGCUCUGUUGUAAGAGAAGAACGGGUGUGAGAGUGGAAAGUUCACACUGUGACGGUAUCUUACCAGAAAGGGACGGCUAACUACGUG